UUGGAGGGCAAGUCUGGUGCCAGCAGCCGCGGUAAUUCCAGCUCCAAUAGCGUAUAUUAAAGUUGUUGCAGUUAAAAAGCUCGUAGUUGAAUUUCGGGGUUCUACCGUUGGUCGGGCGAUAGUCUGUACUGGCGUGUAGAAUUUCUACCUUCUGGGGAACUAUCAUGUUAUUUAUUUAGCGUGGUAGGAAACCAGGACCUUUACCUUGAAAAAAUUAGAGUGUUCAAAGCAGGCUUACGUCUGAAUACAUUAGCAUGGAAUAAUAAAAUAGGACGGUGGUCCUGUUUUGUUGGUUUCUGAAUCACCGUAAUGAUUAAUAGGGAUAGUUGGGGGCAUUAGUAUUCAAUUGUCAGAGGUGAAAUUCUUGGAUUUAUUGAAGACUAACUUCUGCGAAAGCAUUUGCCAAGGAUGUUUUCAUUAAUCAAGAACGAAAGUUAGGGGAUCGAAGACGAUCAGAUACCGUCGUAGUCUUAACCAUAAACUAUGCCGACUAGGGAUCGGACGAUGUUAAUUUUUCUUGACUCGUUCGGCGCCUUACGGGAAAC
rnacentral:rRNA from 1 species